rnacentral:tRNA from 1 species
GUACCCGUAGCUUAGCUGGAUAGAGCAUCGGUUUGCGGAACCGAAGGUCACAAGUUCGAAUCUUGUCGGGUACGCCA